CCAGCGCACCCUUAUCCUUGUUUGCCAGCGAGUAAUGUCGGGAACUCCAGGGAGACUGCCGGUGAUAAACCGGAGGAAGGUGGGGACGACGUCAAGUCAUCAUGGCCCUUACGAGUAGGGCUACACACGUGCUACAAUGGCGCAUACAGAGGGCGGCCAACUUGCGAAAGUGAGCGAAUCCCAAAAAGUGCGUCGUAGUCCGGAUUGGAGUCUGCAACUCGACUCCAUGAAGUCGGAAUCGCUAGUAAUCGUGGAUCAGAAUGCCACGGUGAAUACGUUCCCGGGCCUU
rnacentral:rRNA from 1 species